GAAUUUCAGUAACAAUUGGAGUGUACAAAGCAUCAAACCUGGCUGUAUUUACACUACACGCCACGAAGCCUCCGGCAUGAAAAUAAAUAAUGAGGGGCAAUUUUUGUUUAGGGGAGGAAUCAUCAUCAUCAAACGCUUUCCGCGGAACGAAUAUUCGAGCCCAGGUGCCCUUCGAUUGGUUUAUGUCCAAGUCCUUUGAAAGAUGAAAAGGGCUGCUAGGAUCGGACGAGGCAGGUGUGCUCGGUGGUUGAAACAGGCGUGUGAUUGAGCCAUCGGGAUUUUUUGCCAAUCCAUGUAGCCAUAGGGGUUUUCAUUAGGAUCAACUGGCUGCUGAACUUGAUCUGACAUGAUGGUUUUCUUGGACAGAUGUUUUGUGGGUAGGAAAGGAUAGAAGGUAUAUUUGUAGAGGCAGCAGAGUCUUGAUAGUUUUCUCUCUGGCUGCGUUGGCUGAUAGGAUUUGUAGUUUAGACGAUUAGUAUAAGUGUUUGCCUCACACUCUCAUACACAAGAACGCCGUUCUAUCUGCUAAUUUGUCGUACAACAUGUAGCAAUUGAUUGAACUUUGAAGAUCAGUCAAUAAGUGCUAAGUGCCAACAACUCCUUUUGUUUUUUUAUUAUUUUUUUAUUUGACCGAGGAGUGGAAUAAUAGUUUUCAAACUUCCCGGGAAGAUGAAAAUAUUGACCACUUCUUCAACUUGAGACUGGAGACCGUCAAAUUUGGCAAUUGAAUUUCGAUUAUUAUUAAUUAGACCGAGGACUCGAGGGCUCUUAAGAAGCCCAAAAGUUGAAAAAGAAGUAAAAUCUGGGAGGGUUCCAACUUAUAAGUUCAAGGUGAUUUUGGAACGUCCCCGGUAGCACAGAAGGAGAUUUUGGGAGCAGAUAUUUUGGGAGUUGUUACCCCUAGGGGUGAUUUCUUCUAAAGGGGGUUUGUCAUUUCUUAUCUCUACAAUAAUAAAGUUUGUGUCGGUAUUAACUUUGUUUGUUUUCAAAUUUAUUUUUAUCUCUAUUUUUUUAAUGAUUAGCUUCUCCAUUAAUCAUUAUUUCUAUUAUCAACUGAAACACAAAUUUUAUCCAAUCAAAAUUAUCUCCCUUCAAUUCUCACAUUCUCCCUUACUAAUGCGUUUUUUACUUCCAAUUGUACAUAUUUCUGUAUAAUACACUUUUUUCACAUAUUACAUAAAAUAGUUACGCUCAUUUGCACUAUUUUUGUAAUUCUUUCAAUUAAAAAUAUUUUUUGACAAAUUGCACACGCAUUAAGUGUGCCUCGAUGACUAGUAGUAACUAAUAAUGAUGAAUAAAGGGAUAGUUUAUUAGUUUUACAAUUUUUUGGACGAUUUUCUCUAUCUUCCAAACAUCCAAGUAAACUGGCACAACAAUUUGAGUUCAAUUUUUAUUAUAAACUCCACCCAAAAUAUUCUUGUUUAUUGGUACAUCAGGUAAAAUGCGGUGAAGUUGACCUCUAUUGUUGCAUAAUUAUAUUUCAGUUGUAUAAAAUUGAAAAGACAAGAUGAAAAAUAUAGGACAUGGAUAUUAUUAUUGACACAGAAAAUCAUUCAACAGAUAUAUUACUUUUCAUUUAGAUGUGAUUAGACUUUAUUUUUUCCACUCAACAUGCUAGUUGAUGCACCUCUACUUUCCGUAAAGUUGCAACCUCCUGUCGAGUACAGAUGAAAUGUAGAAAAUGGAAUUUUACAAAAGAAAAAGACAGCUAAGGAACGAAAAAGAUGGGGAAAAAAAAUUUAGGCAACAUGAAAGCCGAUAUAGUUUUUUUUAUUUUAUAAAUAAAAAGUUUUGAAUUCAGAAUCUCUUACUUGUAAUUCUUUCCGAACACUAGUCGUAUAAGUUUUGUAUAACUGAUACAACUAUCAUCCCGUUACACUACCAUACAAAUCCAAGACCUAAUUGUAUUAUUAUCUCUUUGAAAACAGAAGGGCACAGACAAUUUUAUCACUCAUGUAACUAGAUGACAAUUUUGGGACAAGAAAAGUCCAAAUAUUACUACAUCAAAAGUCCAGCUCACUCGAUAUAAUCAAAAGUAGUCCAUACUGCACACAAAUGAAAUUAGCUAGUAAGCCACCAAACAGAAAAGCUAGUUCUACCAUACCAGCGCACUAGCUUGGCUUAGCUGAACUUUUUGGCUUUUGACCUGUUGUAAGAUCAAAAUAGCUUCCCAAAGCACAUACUUUUUCAAGAAGUGGUGGUAGAUUCAACAAGGUCUUUAAUAACAAUGGCUAGUUCUUUAGCCUUUGUGGGAUCUCCAAGCUCAUACGCAUGAGCUCCUCCCUCAUCAAACUUGCCUGUCACCGAUACACCUUUCUCUUCUAAUUUCUUCCAAAGCUCAAUCUGCCGAUCUAUCAUCAGAUCACCAUCAAAGCCAGUGACCAAAAUCUUCCACCCCAGAGAUUUGACCUGAUCAAAUUGGUCUGGCUUAAUCUUCGCCAUUGGAUUGCAAUACUCAUGAUCGCGGUCAACGCCGAUUGGCAAGCUCAGAUCCCACAUCAGAUCAGUUAACGACAGCGGUACAAACCUGUCGUUGGCGAGCCUCAACUCUGACUCAGUCCUCUCGAUCCCACCAAAGAAUGGUUGAUGCAUUAUCAACCCUUUGAUCUGCAGAGGCAGAGAUCGUCAACACAUGCAGCUACUUGGAGGCCAACAUGAUAAACAAUGUUACCCAACCAGCUACUGCCCAUCAAGAAAGCCUUAGAAAAGUCAGCAUGUUUUGACCACCUCGUCGUUGGAGUUUUUGAUGAUCCAAUGCAAGCUUCGAAGCAAUCUUCAUAAGCUGCAGGAAGUCGGUGCUCCGGACCAAGACGGUACUCGACGGAGACAACUACAGCCGGAAUUUCAGUAACAAUUGGAGUGUACAAAGCAUCAAACAUGGCUGUAUUUACGCUACACGCGACGAAACCUCCAGCAUGAAAAUAAAUAAUGAGGGGCAAUUUUGUUUAGGGGAGGAAUCAUCAUCAUCAAAUGCUUUCCGAGGAACGAAUAUUCGAGCCCAGGUGCCCUUCGAUUGGUUUAUGUCCAAGUCCUUUGAAAGAUGAAAAGGGUUGCUGGAUCGGACGAGGCAGGUGUGCUCGGUGGUUGAAACAGGCGUGUGAUUGAGCCAUCGGGAUUUUUUGCGAUUCCCAGGUAGCCAUAGGGGUUUUCAUUAGGAUCAACUGGCUGCUGAACUUGAUCUGACAUGAUGGUUUUCUUGGACAGAUGUUUUUUUGUAGAUAUAAAGGAAGAUAAUUGUAGAGUUUAUAAGGUAUUUGUAGAGCCUUGCCAGCUAGUUUGACGUUUACUCUCGUUGCUCUUGAUAAUGACUUGUACUAUAUGGGAUUAACAUUCCUAUGACAUAAUUUAUCCUAACCUUGGAAAGGGAAAAUCGAUGAAAGUAAAAAUUUCAUCAGAUAAAGUCAUUGAAGACAGCUA
rnacentral:lncRNA from 1 species